UGCGAAGGGGGCUAGCGUUGCUCGGAAUUACUGGGCGUAAAGGGAGCGUAGGCGGACAUUUAAGUCAGGGGUGAAAUCCCGGGGCUCAACCUCGGAAUUGCCUUUGAUACUGGGUGUCUUGAGUAUGAGAGAGGUGUGUGGAACUCCGAGUGUAGAGGUGAAAUUCGUAGAUAUUCGGAAGAACACCAGUGGCGAAGGCGACGCACUGGCUCAUUACUGACGCUGAGGCUCGAAAGCGUGGGGAGCAAACAGGAUUAGAUACCCCUGUA
rnacentral:rRNA from 1 species